UGUAAAGUGAAUUAAAUUUAUUCAGUUCACAAAUCUAAUCUAACAAGCCUAUUUUUCUAAAGCCAGGUGUACGCGACGCCAGUAUUUCUUGGCACAUAUUUUCUGUCAAGUUGUUAUUGUCCUUUUGACUACUGCUGCUUUGCACACUGACUUCUUCACCAGGAAUCGCUCUGAAAAUAUUUUAUGAAGUCCUUUCGACUACUGGUGCUCUGCACACUGACUCCUUCGCCAGGAAUCCUUCCAGAAACAUUUUACCAGGUCCUUCUGACGACUGCUGCUCUGCACACUGACUUUUUCACCAGAAACCGCUCUGAAAAUAUUUUAUGAAGUCCUUUCGAAUACUGGUGCUCUGCACACUGACUCCUUCACCAGGAAUCUUUCCAGAAACAUGUUACAAGAUCUUCUCAAUCCAACUAUUACUGCCCUGAAGCUCUAACAUGUGAAUGACUCGCUAGAGUUUUUUUUUAACUGCCUAUAAUUAUGCAUGAUUAACUUAACUCUUAUUAACUCAAUAAGAUGACUAAU